UUUUCAGGGAUCAUCAUCAGAUCAUCUUUCAUAAAGUGCGCUUAUAAUCAUCUUGUAGAUAAAGAGAGAGGUGUCUUGUUACCAGUUUCCUGUUAUAAUCACAAGAAAGAAACACAUGCUACUUUUAAAUGAAAUUACUCACUUCACCACCAGCAAGAUGCUGGAGGAAUUUGUCCUCAUACUCACGGCAGAGUUCCAAAGCUAAAGCUCUUGUACCUUCAGAACUACUAACCAUUUGCUCACCAAGCCUUACAAGUUCAUCUUGAACUAUUUGAGACUUCCCCUGAAGCCCAGACAGAAGAUUAGGAAGCCUGAGUUUCAUACGACUACGGAUCUGACCAGCAAGAGCUUCCACCAAAGCUACUCUCCCAAGCUUGCUUUGGGGUGCUCCAGUCAAUAUAGAUUUUAGACUUUCACUCUCAGCACGCCAAGCUGUUUCUAAAGAAUUUUCAGAUGCACUUCCCGAUUGUGCUGAAGCAAUGGAAACAGAUUGACCAAUCAAUGCAAUCCAUGGAAUAUCAGAUGUUUUGGGAGGUCCCUGAUUCAGGAGAAGUGCCUGAACAGCAGCAAGAGCUUUUGACUCUGUAGCUGCUUGAUCGAUUUUACUAAUAACACCAAUUGUUCUAGUACUUUCCGCAUCAUAUUCCUUCGCAAUUCUAAGGGCUCUACAUGAUGAAAUUUCUGGUGCCUGAACAGCAGGAAUUACAACUAGCAAAAUUGCAUCGUUGUGUUCAACAUAUUCACUGAUCAGUGAAUCAUCCAUAAUUCUUUGAUCCAGUCCUGGCAAGUCAGUCAAUUUCAAUGGUGGAGCUGUGCUAGUUCGCAAUUUCAGAUAUAUUUCAUCACGACCCCUUCCUGAUGAACCCUUGCUUAGCCUAUCCUGUAGAGAAUGCCGAAGAGCACUUGCAGAAACCUGCUGAGAUUUGUUAUCAAUUUGCAAAACGAUUGACUUGUUGCUUAAUGAACUAUCUCUACUCAAAUCAAUGCUUAUUGGAGCCCGAGUUGCACCAUUUUCACCAGUUGGCAAAACAGGAUGUCCAAUGAGACUAUUCAGUACAGCAGAUUUACCAGCACCAACAUUGCCGAGAGAGACGACAUUGAGGAAAGUGGAGGAUCGUUUGGAGGAGGAAGACGUCGUCGUUUCAUCAAUAUCUUCGUCGGCUAGCAACGCAGAGGCUUGCCUCAUAGACUCGGAUAGCUGUUGCAAGUCUUCGAUCGCUUCCAUAUUCAAUAUACCUAUCUAUCAAUCUAUACUUCUAAGGAUUAACGGAUUCAAAAGCAAAGAGGCACAAAUUUUGCAUAGGAAAAUAGAGAUCGAAAUGAAGAGAUGCAGAAGAAGAGAAACCCUAAGAUUGGAUCUGGAGAAGGAAGAUUGAAAUCAAAAAUUGAGAAAUAGAAGUAAUGAUAAAUGCAUUUGAAAAGGGUGCUUUCUGUUGGCUUUUUG
rnacentral:misc_RNA from 1 species